rnacentral:tRNA from 1 species
GCGCCGGUAGUGUAAGGCGAACAAGCUGCCCGGAAAGCAGAGAAUACGAGUUCGAGUCUCGCCUGGCGCA